rnacentral:rRNA from 1 species
UACGAAGGGGGCUAGCGUUGCUCGGAAUCACUGGGCGUAAAGGGUGCGUAGGCGGGUCUUUUAAGUCAGGGGUGAAAUCCUGGAGCUCAACUCCAGAACUGCCUUUGAUACUGAAGAUCUUGAGUCCGGGAGAGGUGAGUGGAACUGCGAGUGUAGAGGUGAAAAUUCGUAGAUAUUCGCAAGAACACCAGUGGCGAAGGCGGCUCACUGGCCCGGUACUGACGCUGAGGCACGAAAGCGUGGGGGAGCAAACAGGG